GGUUCCAUGGUGUAAUGGUCAGCACUCUGGAGUCUGACUCCAGCGAUAUGAGUUCAAGUCUCAAUGGGACUU
rnacentral:tRNA from 1 species